AAUUAUAUGCUAUAUUCUUGGCAAGAUCUUUUUCUUCUCCUUUGCCCUCUUCUACUCCUUCCCCCCUUCUCCUGUUUCUCCUCCUUCCCUUCCUCCAACUCUUCUUCAUCCUCCUAGCUUGUAGAAUAUUCUUAUGCCAGUCACUCAUAUCUUUACUUAAAACCUGAUUGGCAUGUGACCAGAGUAGACAGUAUCUAAGGUUCCGAAAUAGCAUUUUCUUUACCAGUAUCCUUAAUCAAGUAGGCAAGAGUUCUAAGGAAUCUUUUGUUCUUAAUUCUGAGUUGCUCUUGCAUCUCUACAGUGCGGCGUAUGAUGCUGUCCUUGACAGAAAUGUGGCCAUUAAGAAGCUCAGCAGACCCUUUCAGAACCAAACACAUGCCAAGAGAGCGUACCGGGAGCUGGUCCUCAUGAAGUGUGUGAACCAUAAAAACUUACUUAGUAAUGGAACUGAUGGAUGCCAACUUAUGUCAAGUGAUUCAGAUGGAAUUAGACCAUGAGCGAAUGUCUUACCUGCUGUACCAAAUGUUGUGUGGCAUUAAGCACCUCCAUUCUGCUGGAAUUAUUCACAGGGAUUUAAAACCAAGUAACAUUGUAGUCAAGUCUGAUUGCACAUUGAAAAUCCUGGACUUUGGACUGGCCAGGACAGCAGGCACAAGCUUCAUGAUGACUCCAUAUGUGGUGACACGUUAUUACAGAGCCCCUGAGGUCAUCCUGGGGAUGGGCUACAAGGAGAACGUGGAUAUAUGGUCUGUGGGAUGCAUUAUGGGAGAAAUGGUUCGCCACAAAAUCCUCUUUCCAGGAAGGGACUAUAUUGACCAGUGGAAUAAGGUAAUUGAACAACUAGGAACACCAUGUCCAGAAUUCAUGAAGAAAUUGCAACCCACAGUAAGAAACUAUGUGGAGAAUCGGCCCAAGUAUGCGGGACUCACCUUCCCCAAACUCUUCCCAGAUUCCCUCUUCCCAGCGGACUCCGAGCACAAUAAACUCAAAGCCAGCCAAGCCAGGGACUUGUUGUCAAAGAUGCUAGUGAUUGACCCAGCAAAAAGAAUAUCAGUGGACGACGCCUUACAGCAUCCCUACAUCAACGUCUGGUAUGACCCAGCCGAAGUGGAGGCGCCUCCACCUCAGAUAUAUGACAAGCAGUUGGAUGAAAGAGAACACACAAUCGAAGAAUGGAAAGAACUUAUCUACAAGGAAGUAAUGAAUUCAGAAGAAAAGACUAAAAAUGGUGUAGUAAAAGGACAGCCUUCUCCUUCAGCACAGGUGCAGCAGUGAACAGCAGUGAGAGUCUCCCUCCAUCCUCGUCUGUCAAUGACAUCUCCUCCAUGUCCACCGACCAGACCCUGGCAUCUGACACUGACAGCAGCCUGGAAGCCUCGGCAGGACCCCUGGGUUGUUGCAGGUGACUAGCCGCCUGCCUGCGAAACCCAGCGUUCUUCAGGAGAUGAUGUGAUGGAACACACACACACGCAGACACACACACACACACACAAAUGCAGACAUACAACAUCAAGAAAACAGCAAGGGAGAGAAUCCAAGCCUAAAAUUAAAUAAAUCUUUCAGCCUGCUUCUUCCCCAGGGUUCUGUAUUGCAGCUAAGCUCAAAUGUAUAUUUAACUUCUAGUUGCUCUUGCUUUGGUCUUCUUCCAAUGAUGCUUACUACAGAAAGCAAAUCAGACACAAUUAGAGAAGCCUUUUCCAUAAAGUGUAAUUUUAAUGGCUGCAAAACCGGCAACCUGUAACUGCCCUUUUAAAUGGCAUGACAAGGUGUGCAGUGGCCCCAUCCAGCAUGUGUGUGUCUCUAUCUUGCAUCUACCUGCUCCUUGGCCUAGUCAGAUGGAUGUAGAUACAGAUCCGCAUGUGUCUGUAUUCAUACAGCACUACUUACUUAGAGAUGCUACUGUCAGUGUCCUCAGGGCUCUACCAAGACAUAAUGCACUGGGGUACCACAUGGUCCAUUUCAUGUGAUCUAUUACUCUGACAUAAACCCAUCUGUAAUAUAUUGCCAGUAUAUAAGCUGUUUAGUUUGUUAAUUGAUUAAACUGUAUGUCUUAUAAGAAAACAUGUAAAGGGGGAAUAUAUGGGGGGAGUGAGCUCUCUCAGACCCUUGAAGAUGUAGCUUCCAAAUUUGAAUGGAUUAAAUGGCACCUGUAUACC
rnacentral:sRNA from 1 species